rnacentral:rRNA from 1 species
UACGUAGGGGGCAAGCGUUGUCCGGAAUUAUUGGGCGUAAAGAGCGCGUAGGCGGUCCGAUAAGUCGGCUGUGAAAGUCAGGGGCUCAACCCUUGAAAGCCGGCCGAUACUGUCGGACUAGAGUCCGGAAGAGGCAAGUGGAAUUCCCGGUGUAGCGGUGAAAUGCGCAGAUAUCGGGAGGAACACCCGUAGCGAAGGCGGCACUCUGGGCCGAUACUGACACUGAGGAGCGAAAGCCAGGGGAGCAAACGGG